rnacentral:lncRNA from 1 species
UCAUUACUCCUCCUUCCUCUGCUUCUUCAGACUGCCUCUAUCAUUACUCCUCCUUCCUCUGCUUCUUCAGACUGCCUCUAUCAUUACUGCUCCUUCCUCUGCUUCUUCAAGAUGCCUCUAUAUCAUUACUCCUCUCCUCCUUCCUCUGCUUCUUCACUGCCUCUAUCAUUACUCCUCUCCUCCUUCCUCUGCUUCUUCAGACUGCCUCUGCUUCUUCAGACUGCCUCUAUCAUUACUCCUCCUUCCUCUGCUUCUUCAGACUGCCUCUGCUUUUUCAGACUGCCUCUAUAUCAUUACUCCUCUCCUCCUUCCUCUGCUUCUUCACUGCCUCUAUCAUUACUCCUCUCCUCCUUCCUCUGCUUCUUCAGACUGCCUCUGCUUCUUCAGACUGCCUCUAUCAUUACUCCUCCUUCCUCUGCUUUUUCAGACUGCCUCUAUCAUUACUCCUCCUUCCUCUGCUUCUUCAGACUGCCGCUAUAUCAUUACUCCUCUCCUCCUUCCUCUGCUUCUUCAAACUGCCUCUAUAUCAUUACUCCUCUCCUCCUUCCUCUGCUUCUUCACUGCCUCUAUAUCAUUACUCCUCUCCUCCUUCCUCUGCUUCUUCAGACUGCCUCUAUCAUUACUCCUCCUUCCUCUGCUUUUUCAAACUGCCUCUAUAUCAUUACUCCUCUCCUCCGUCCUCUGCUUCUUCAGACUGCCUCUAUAUCAUUACUCCUCUCCUCUUUCCUCUGCUUCUUCAGACUGCCUCUAUCAUUACUCCUCCUUCCUCUGCUUCUUCAGACUGCCUCUGCUUUUUUAGACUGCCUCUAUCAUUACUCCUCUCAUCCUUCCUCUGCUUCAGACUGCCUCUAUAUCAUUACUCUCCUCCUUCCUCUGCUUCUUCACUGCCUCUAUCAUUACUCCUCUCAUCCUUCCUCUGCUUCUUCAGACUGCCUCUAUCAUUACUCCUCUCCUCCUUCCUCUGCUUCUUCAGACUGCCUCUAUCAUUACUCCUCUCCUCCUUCCUCUGCUUCUUCAAACUGCCUCUAUAUCAUUACUCCUCUCCUCCUUCCUCUGCUUCUUCAAACUGCCUCUAUCAUUGCUCCUCUCCUCCUUCCUCUGCUUCUUCACUGCCUCUAUCAUUACUCCUCUCCUCCUUCCUCUGCUUCUUCAGACUGCCUCUAUCAUUACUCCUCCUUCCUCUGCUUCUUCAGACUGCCUCUAUCAUUACUCCUCCUUCCUCUGCUUUUUCAGACUGCCUCUAUCAUUACUCCUCCUUCCUCUGCUUCUUCAGAC